UCCAUCCCGAACUCAGAAGUGAAACGAAACAGCGUCGAUGGUAGUGUGGGGUCUCCCCAUGUGAGAGUAGAACAUCGCCAGGC
rnacentral:rRNA from 1 species